rnacentral:sRNA from 2 species
UGACCCCGUGUCUGCAAUCGUCAAACAGGCAACCGUACAGCAGGAAUUAUCAUCGCAACACGAUGCAUCUGCCAGGGGGAUCUAUCGCAAAAGGCACGGGUGCGUGUAGGAUAGGCAUGUCGAGGCUUCUCCCUCAUGCGAUGCGACGUACUACCACUGUCUUGCCUUGCUUCCGGGGCACCUCCCGAUACUCGACAAGAGCCUGCGGAAACACAGGCAGAAACUCCCGCAUCACGAUUUACUCGUUAUCCUCUGCUCCAAACACUACUAUGUUAACAGCAGUGUCUCUUCGAUCGUGUCGCCAAACAAGGGAUUUCUCCUCCGCAUCACAAAAUGAGCGGCCAAAGGCAGAUGACUACAUCCAAGAACUCCAAGAUUUAUACGAGAUUGUAAAAGACGAGCUUGAAAUCGCCGCUGAAUCUACAGCUGCCGCGACCAUCUAUGCCGUCUCCGAUCGUAUUUCCCUGCGCGAAGCUUUUGACGACCUCGACCAUGCCUACUCAGCUUACACAGGCACUACACCGCAUCCAUCACGUCUUGAACGACCUGCCAACGCGGGACCGGCAGGA